CCUACGGGAGGCAGCAGUGGGGAAUAUUGGACAAUGGGCGAAAGCCUGAUCCAGCAAUGCCGCGUGAGUGAAGAAGGCCUUCGGGUUGUAAAGCUCUUUUACCCGGGAAGAUAAUGACUGUACCGGGAGAAUAAGCCCCGGCUAACUCCGUGCCAGCAGCCGCGGUAAUACGGAGGGGGCUAGCGUUGUUCGGAAUUACUGGGCGUAAAGCGUACGUAGGCGGCUUUGUAAGUCAGAGGUGAAAGCCCACGACUCAAUCGUGGAACUGCCUUUGAGACUGCUUCGCUUGAAGAUGGGAGAGGUUAGUGGAAUUCCGAGUGUAGAGGUGAAAUUCGUAGAUAUUCGGAAGAACACCAGUGGCGAAGGCGGCUAACUGGACCAUUCUUGACGCUGAGGUACGAAAGCGUGGGGAGCAAACAGGAUUAGAUACCCUGGUAGUCCACGCCGUAAACGAUGAUAACUAGCUGUCGGGGCUCUUGGAGCUUCGGUGGCGCAGCUAACGCAUUAAGUUAUCCGCCUGGGGAUACGGCCGCAGGUUAAAACUCAAANANAUAGACGCGNGAGACGNGCGACGCGACACGAGGAGAG
rnacentral:rRNA from 1 species